rnacentral:siRNA from 1 species
ACGGUUGUGUCUUUUUAAUGCA